rnacentral:rRNA from 1 species
CCCGCUGAACUUAAGCAUAUCAAUAAGCGGAGGAAAAGAAACUAACAAGGAUUCCCCUAGUAACUGCGAGUGAAGCGGGAAAAGCUCAAAUUUAAAAUCUGGCGGUCUUUCGGCCGUCCGAGUUGUAAUCUGGAGAAGCGUUUAUCCGCGUUGGACCGUGUACAAGUCUUCUGGAAGGGAGCGUCAUAGAGGGUGAGAAUCCCGUCUUUGACACGGACUGCCAAGGCAUUGUGAUACGCUCUCAAAGAGUCGAGUUGUUUGGGAAUGCAGCUCAAAAUGGGUGGUAAAUUCCAUCUAAAGCUAAAUAUUGGGGAGAGACCGAUAGCGAACAAGUACCGUGAGGGAAAGAUGAAAAGAACUUUGGAAAGAGAGUUAAACAGUACGUGAAAUUGCUGAAAGGGAAACGCUUGAAGUCAGUCGCGUCGCUCAGGACUCAGCCUUGCUUUUGCUUGGUGUACUUCCUGUUCGAUGGGUCAGCAUCAAUUUUGGUCGGUGGAUAAAGGCUCAGAGAAUGUGGCAUCUUCGGGUGUGUUAUAGCUCUGGGUUGUAUACAUCGGCUGGGAUUGAGGAACUCAGCACGCCGCAAGGCCGGGUACUUGUACCACGUACGUGCUUAGGAUGCUGGCAUAAUGGCUUUAAUCGACCCGUCUUGAAACACGG